rnacentral:lncRNA from 1 species
GAAAAUAUGGUUAGCUGUGCCGCUUGUGGCUAUUCCUGACACCAAAACAUAAAGAUGAUGGUGUUACAUUUCACAGCUUUCCUAAAAAUCAGACGAGAAGAUCGCAAUGGGUAAAUUUUGUCAAAAACCCUGAGUUUAUCCCCAAAAACAGUAGUGUACACACAAUGUAUACGAAAUUAAUUUUAUUUAAAGGCCAAUAAAUUUGUAUUUUUGA